ensembl:lncRNA
GUUCUUGCCUUUGAUUGACUUAUAGUCAAGUGGAGUGGACACAGGUCAUGGUGGCAGUAUAGCCACUUAAGUAUUCCGAAGGAGAUUUAUCAGCAGGUUGCAGGUGAACAUGGCCUUGAGACAAGGGGCUCCCCAGCUGGUGCGAGUGGUAGAGAACCCGCCUGCCACUGAAGGAGACAUGCGGGUUUGAUCCCUGGUUGGGAAGAUCCCCCGGAGGAGGAAAUGGCAACCCACUCCAGUAUUCUUGCUUGGAGAAUCCCAUGGACAGAGGAGCCUGGCAGGCUACAGCCCAUGGGGUCACACAGAGUCAGAUAUAAGUGAAGUGACUUGGCAUGCAUGCACACACAUAAGU